rnacentral:rRNA from 1 species
UACAGAGGGGGCAAGCGUUGUUCGGAAUUACUGGGCGUAAAGGGCGCGUAGGCGGCCUGUUAAGUCGAACGUGAAAUCCCCGGGCUCAACCCGGGAACUGCGUCCGAUACUGGCAGGCUUGAAUCCGGGAGAGGGAUGUGGAAUUCCAGGUGUAGCGGUGAAAUGCGUAGAUAUCUGGAGGAACACCGGUGGCGAAGGCGGCAUCCUGGACCAGUACCGACGUUCAGGCACGAAAGCGUGGGGAGCAAACAGG